rnacentral:rRNA from 1 species
UACUAGAGUAGCACUCGCAUAUCAAUAAGCGGAGGAAAAGAAACUAACAAGGAUUCCCCUAGUAACGGCGAGUGAAGCGGGAAGAGCUCAAAUUUGAAAUCUUAAAGGGUUUCCCUUUACGAAUUGUAGUUUAAAGAAGUGUUUUCUGUUGAGGUUUUGGUAAAAGUUCUUUGGAAUAGGACAUCAUAGGGGGUGAGAAUCCCGUAUUUGACCUUUACUUUCAACUUUGUGAUACACUUUCAAAGAGUCGGAUUGUUUGGGAAUGCAGUCCAAAAUGGGUGGUAAAUUUCAUCUAAAGCUAAAUAUUGGCGAGAGACCGAUAGCGAACAAGUACCGUGAGGGAAAGAUGAAAAGAACUUUGAAAAGAGAGUUAAACAGUACGUGAAAUUGUCAAAAGGGAAGCGUUUGACACCAGUGUUGUUUUUCUGAAAAUCAAUUAAAGAACUGUUUAUGCUAAGUUGUUUAGACUUUAUCAGCUAACUGUUUAGUUUUGAGCUUUUCUUUAAUGCACUUUUCAGUUAACAAGUCAACAUCAAUUUCUUUUGCUGUAAAAAAGCUUGAGGAAGGUGGCUUGAGAUUCGUCUUAAGUGUUUAUAGCCUCUUGCCUAUGCAGUCGGAGAGAUUGAGGUCUGCAGCGUAGAUCCUUCGGGGCUAAAUGCAUUUGUGCUAAGUUAUAGCAUUUUAUAGACAACUUGUUGACUAUGAUUUGUCUUGUAGCUUACUCGCUUAUGUUAUUUUACCUACGCUUAGGAUGUUGAUCUACAGAGCGAGAGU